AUACCUUCAUUCAAUAUACUUUCUGAAGACAAGGAAAAGCUGAAUGGAACUUCAGCAAUUGGAGGGUGGGUAGGAGAGGAGGCUCCAGUGAUACUUUUGUGCUCUCAAGGAAAGACAAGAAAAUCUUUACAACAUACCUGAUCAUUUAUCUGGCAUGCAACAAGGUUGUGCUGAUCAUAACAGCCAGCGAAUCUAAUGUACUUGAGCCAGCUUCCAACAUCUGGUUGACUGGCAUCUAUGCAGAACUUCACAUUGUAAAAUUCGUCUAAGAUCUGGAGGGAAGAAGAUGAGAACAAUCAAUUGCCAUAUUGGCCCACUCAUUAAAAUAAUC
rnacentral:lncRNA from 1 species